ACCCGCACAAGCGGUGGAUGAUGUGGAUUAAUUCGAUGCAACGCGAAAACCUUACCUACCCUUGACAUGCCAGGAACUUGCCAGAGAUGGCUUGGUGCUCGAAAGAGAACCUGGACACAGGUGCUGCAUGGCUGUCGUCAGCUCGUGUCGUGAGAUGUUGGGUUAAGUCCCGCAACGAGCGCAACCCUUGUCAUUAGUUGCCACCAUUCAGUUGGGCACUCUAAUGAGACUGCCGGUGACAAACCGGAGGAAGGUGGGGAUGACGUCAAGUCCUCAUGGCCCUUAUGGGUAGGGCUUCACACGUCAUACAAUGGUCGGUACAGAGGGUUGCCAAGCCGCGAGGUGGAGCCAAUCCCAGAAAGCCGAUCGUAGUCCGGAUCGCAGUCUGCAACUCGACUGCGUGAAGUCGGAAUCGCUAGUAAUCGCGAAUCAGCCAUGUCGCGGUGAAUACGUUCCCGGGUCUU
rnacentral:rRNA from 1 species